GGUUAAGCUACUAAGAGCACACGGAGGAUGCCUAGGCGCUAGGAGCCGAUGAAGGACGUGGCGAACGACGAAAUGGCCUCGGGGAGCUGUAAGCAAGCUUUGAUCCGGGGAUGUCCGAAUGGGGAAACCCGGCUGGUGUAAUAACCAGUCACUCACAGCUGAAUACAUAGGUUGUGAAGAGGCAUACCCAGGGAACUGAAACAUCUAAGUACCUGGAGGAAGAGAAAACAAGAGUGAUUCCGUCAGUAGCGGCGAGCGAACGCGGAACAGCCUAAACCGAAGAGCUUGCUCUUCGGGGUUGUGGGACGUCUCACAUGGAGUUACAAAGGUUUAGAUUAGUUGAACAGGUCUGGAAAGGCCGGCCAUAGAAGGUAAAAGCCCUGUAGUCGAAAAUGUGAACCCUCCGAGACGGAUCCCGAGUAGUGCGGGGCACGUGAAACCCCGUAUGAAUCUGCCAGGACCAUCUGGUAAGGCUAAAUACUCCCUAGCGACCGAUAGUGAAGCAGUACCGUGAGGGAAAGGUGAAAAGCACCCCGGGAGGGGAGUGAAAUAGAACCUGAAACCGUGUGCUUACAAGAAGUCAGAGCCC
rnacentral:rRNA from 1 species